UUAUCACACGGAACGAUCUUUUGGUCAUAUCUUGUUAGUUGGUAGUAGAAGAACAUUUCUUUUUACCUUGGUUAGCUGUGAUUUGGAGAAAUCUGUUGAGCAUGUGAGUCUGUCAAGGAGAACCUAGCAGAAAAUACGCAACAACCUUUUAAGGAAACUCCAUAUAAUUCGAAAGGCAACACAUAUACGUUGACCACUUACAAAUCAGUUCCAUCGCCUGUCACGAGCACAUCGUCCACAGAUAAUGAUGGGAAGCAUUUGGAGAAAUGCAAAUCCUUGAUGAACGCUUCGUUUUUACAAUACUCUCGUGGUAGUCUAUUGCUUAUAGGAUCCUGCUAUUAUAAGCAACGUCCCAUUGGUAGCGGACGUCUACAACCUAAUAAGUGGUCCGAUAUUUAUUAUUUGGCAUCUCAACAUUAUAAUAACAACAAUUCAGCAGAGACGAAAUAGCGAUUUGGUAUCAACGGAUGGAAAUGAGAGCGAAGAAAAAUCGUCUUUUAAGGAUAGACAUGAUAUUGUCACCAAAAACUAUGUGAAACCAGUAAUGUCCGGAUUUUUAUUUGUAUUUAGCUUGAAAUACUAAAAGUAUCGGUUUCGAUGAUGACCGAUCGAGAAAGUUUAUUGUCGGAAAAACAAGAAAAUUCUGUUGAAGGUGAUGGUGAUAUCAAUAACGACGAGUUUAAAAAAGAAAAUCCCACUCAAAAAGCUAAUUUGAUUUAAUCAAAAUGGUCAUCACACGUUCAAAAUAGUACACAUUCCAAAAGCCUUCAAAAAAAUGAAGUUAACGCAAACGCUCAGGACAAGAAUGUUAGCGGAAAAAAGGAUGCAAGUCCAAAAAAACAAAUAAUAAACCAUUACGCUCCUUUAAUCAUAUCUGCCAUUUUUAUUCGCCUCUGGCUCAAAAUCCAAUGUUCAGGCA